UUUUGGAUCAUUUUUCUUUGUUUCAUUUUAAUGAUAAUUAUUUUCUACAAAAUACAAAUUGGGUCAUUUUUGUUGUAUCAUUUAAAUUCUGGCCCAAUUAAAUUAACACACAAUACAAAAUUCAUUCAAAAUAACAAAUUAACAAUACAUACUCAACAAACAGUAAAAAAAAAUACAUACUCAACAAAAACUAUUAAAAAUAUUACACACUUUUCAUAAACAAUUGAAGAACCAGAUUGGAUUUAUAUAUCCCAAAGACAGAGUCAUGUAACCCUCUUCAUGUAACCCCUCCACAACAUCACAAAAGGAAUAAUAUCAAUGACUUAUAAGGUUUCUUCCUUCAAGCCUCCAAACCUUAAGAGCUUCAUAGGAGUAAAACAACACAAAAACCAGCACACUACAACGACCUGCUAAAACAAAAUAACCAAUCAACCUAUAUAAAAUUGUGUUAAAGAUGACAAUGAACACAUAACUAAAGCAACUAAAUAAGCUCAAAAAAUACAAGCAUAACAGAUCAACAUUAGAAGGCUUACCUUUCAACUUUCACAACAGAUCUGAAAGAUGCAAAUCAAGAUUGAAGGUUCUCAAACUCUAAAUCAAGAAUAACCAAUAUUAGUAGUAAAAUAGUAACAUAAAAAAGAUUAAGUUGAAUGUUCUCAAACCCUAAAUCACUACCUUUGUUUGCUAUCACCAAUCCUGGUAAACCUAAAAAUUAAAAUUAAAAUAAUCAAUCCAUUAAUUAGCAAAUGAAAAGCAAAAGCCUAAGAAAAACAUAGCAUCAAACUAAAUCCAUACAAAAAAUAAGAUUAAGAAUAGAUACUUAAGUUAACUAAAUCCCUACAAAAUAGUAAGAUUAAAAACAGAUCAUUAAACUAUGUAAAUCCACACAAAAUAGUAAGAUUAAAAAUAAAGGCUUAAACUAACUAAAUCCACACAAAAUAGUAACAUUAAAAUCAGAGACUUAUGAAAAAUGAAAACCAUAAUACUAAAACUCUUAAAAUCGAUUGAAGAAGAAUGAUAAACAAAGACUUUGAAGCUUGAAUAACAAAUUCCAACUCUAAAACCACACAAAAUAACAAAACCUAUCUCUAAAACCCUAAAAAGAGGAAUUAAAAUGAUGAAAUGAAUGAGACUUAAGAAGGAUGAAGAUAAAAUCAAAAGGAACACAAAAAUAUCUCUAGAUCUUGCAAAGAUGGUGGCUGAGAAUGAAACAAAGGGAGAGAAAUAAAAUACAGAGGAAGAAAAGGAUGGAGAAUGAAACCUUGAGCUCUAUGAAGAUGGCGGCUGGGUGUGAGACGACGGUGGUGGAGCGGCGAUGUUUGAGAUCUUCACUCCUUCUCUCUCUGGCUGCGCUGUGCUAGGGUUUGUUUGAAGAGAGAGAAUAUGUUGUGUUUUUGAAGAGUGGUGUCCGUGUUUUGUUCUAAAACUAGGAAAAAAUAAAAAUAAAAACAUAUCUAUAAGUACUACGGGUCGGUUCGGCUACCCGUGGAUGAAAAAUCCUGAACCGAACCCGACCGACUCUAGUCACAUGAAACCGAUUUAUUGGGCCACUGAACCCGUUUUGCUGUUUGGACCCGACCCGUUUCGGUUUUGUUUUUUCGGGCAAGCCGGGUUGGGCUGGUUAAUCGGGUUUUGUCCAGC
rnacentral:lncRNA from 1 species